AAGUCGUAACAAGGUUUCCGUAGGUGAACCUGCGGAAGGAUCAUUAAAUUCAGUAGCUUGCUACUGUUAGGGUGGUCUAUUAGUCUGUAUAGUAUCACUACUGAUGAGCAGCACGACCCUCUGUCUAUACCCUUGUCUUUUGCGCACUCAUGUUUCCUCGGCGGCUUUAUACCCGCCGGCUGGAUCAAUCUAUAACCUUUUUAAUUUUCAAUCAGCGUCUGAAAAACCUAAUAAUUACAACUUUCAACAACGGAUCUCUUGGUUCUG
rnacentral:misc_RNA from 1 species